AGAGCGAACGCUGGCGGCAGGCCUAACACAUGCAAGUCGAGCGCCCGUAGCAAUACGGGAGCGGCAGACGGGAUAGUAACACGUGGGAACGCGCCCUUCGGUUCGGAAUAACUCAGGGAAACUUGAGUUAAUACCGGAUACGCCCUUACGGGGAAAGAUUUAUUGCCGAAGGAACGGCCCGCGUCCGAUUAGCUAGUUGGUGAGGUAAUGGCUCACCAAGGCUACGAUCGGUAGCUGGUCUGAGAGGAUGACCAGCAUCACUGGGACUGAGACACGGCCCAGACUCCUACGGGAGGCAGCAGUGGGGAAUAUUGGACAAUGGGCGCAAGCCUGAUCCAGCCAUGCCGCGUGGAUGAUGAAGGCCUUAGGGUUGUAAAGUCCUUUUAACGGGGAAGAUAAUGACGGUACCCGUAGAAUAAGCCCGGCUAACUUCGUGCCAGCAGCCGC
rnacentral:rRNA from 1 species